AAGGUAGACACCUAAUGACUGAGCCACCCAGGCACCCCCAGCAUUGGUUUUUAAUGAAGCUAAAUACCAGGUGAGUUAUUAUUUGGGGCCAGGUAUUUUUGAUGGCCCCAUAUUUAAUUUCAUUCAAAAAGUUUGUACUAAUUUUAAAUUUAAUUUUUAGCAGGUGUACCACUCAUUUGUCUCUAAUGAGGGAUAAUUUUAAAAAAUUAUUGUUAACCCUACCAUUUAUUGAAUGCUUCUCAUAGCAUAGGAAUUCGCUUAGUGCUUUGAAUACACUCUCUUAUUUACUUCUUAGCUCCUAUGGAGAAUUUUUAUUCCUAUUUUACAAAUAAGCAAACGGAAGCUUAGUGGAAGAAAAUCAAGCAACUUGCUCAAGAUCACAUGCUAGUAAGUGACAGCUGGAAUUUAAGCCGAGCUCUGUCUGACCCGAGUCUGUUCCCUUAACCAUUACAUGACCCCGCAUUCACAAGUAAACAUAAACAUACGUAAAUCUAGGCAGUUUCAGGUGAGGUCCUGAAGCAGCGUUGGGUUUAUGUUUAAUACUUAAACAACCAUGUGAGGGAUUGUUGUUAGUCCCAUUUUACAGGUGAGGAAAGAGUCGGGAAGGUUAAUUUUCUCAAAGUCACCUGUCUAAUAAAUGGUAGACAGUGUUUGAACUCUAGCUUGACGCCAGGCUCAUUGCACAAUUCUGCUUCCUACUUCUGACUCCCGCCUCAUUUGGCUGCAGUUCCCCCAGUCAGGUGCUCACAGUUCGCUAAGUAAUGGGCACUUGGUGCCUUUGGAAUCGUUGUUCAAUGAGUGCCCGAAGUACACAUUUCCGUGCCGGCCUCCCUUGGAUGACAGGCAGGAAUAGCUGCUGAGAAGGUGCAUCAGACAGGACUUGGGAUCCAAGGGCUGAGGACAUGUUUUCCUCAUGCCCCCAAUCUUCCUCACCCUGCCACUGAGCACCCCGGCUGCGGCUGAGCCUGACAUUCGACACACAGAUGGGACUCCACGGGUGCUGUCGCCACUGGAGGAGUGAGAUUUGGGCAGCACAGGCCUGAGAAGCGUGAGAUUGAGGGAGGAUGUCACUAAUCGACAAGGACAUGCUAUGUUGGCUCCGGCUUUCGUUAACCCAGCAGCACAUGUCCUGUGCAAGGCUCCUGGGGCACGAGAACGAGCAUGGAGCUGGUCCUCGUGGGGCGGCGGCUCAGCGGUGCCUGCGGAUGAAAUGAGAGGCUGGGGUCAGCAGGAAGGGUGAGUGAAAAGGUAAUUACCCACAAGUGGG